UCCUGAAAUAGAAAAGCAAUCUAAGUAAGAUCAUAGUCAAAAGAUUGAAUAUAACUUCUGCCUUGUUUUAUUAUUGAAUGGUGUGGGGUUAAGAACAAAACAAACAUGGAGGUUAGAUGAAUCAAAACACUCAAGAGUCACAAUAGUCUAGUCCCUGUCUUUACCAUGUCUCCUUCAGUGAGAUUUUGUGCUAACAUAUGCAGCCUUAGAGAUGUUGGUGGGAAUGAUUUAGAGUUGUGAUGUGUGAGGGUAUUGGGGCAAUGAUUGAACAGUGAGAUAAAAGGACCUGUUAUCCCAGCCAGUGAAGCAAGAGCACAGACAAGCAUCUUAGAACAAUCUAACCACACUGCUUAGACCUCAAAGCCUACACAGUCCUACCUAACACAGUGCAGGUCUGGAGAUGCUGAAUGCCAAACGUGGAGAGUAGUAGAAGUGAAAGACCCCAGCUUAGCAGCAGUAACGCCAUUUUGCAAGGCUGUACUUAAGAUGACUGGUUCAGAGAAAGGUUAGAACACUGAGUACACAGCGGUUGCCAAGCAAGAUGUGUUUGGUUGAAGGCCUGGCAACAGGACGACUGCGGUUGAACACCUGACAAUGAGAAAAGCCCUGGGAGAGGUCCCACACCCUGGUGGGGGGGCCAAGUCAGCCGUUAUGUUCCAAGAAGGUAGCUAAGAAACUUGCCCCCGGGCUGAACCCUUGGGGGGCCAAGUCAGCAGCUAAGAAACUUGCCCCCGGGCUAAACCCUUGCCACAUUAGAAUCCACCAAUUAUAUCCCUGUAACCAUGCAUCUGCUUCUGUAUGCUUGCUUCUGCUCCCCAGAAUCCUAUAAAAAGCCCAUCCUUGGUUCCGUGGGGCGCGCCAGUCCCCCGAGUGACUGAAGCGCCCGCAGGUGCCUGUGCCUGUGUAUCCCGACAAUAAACCAAAUCCUCUUGCUGAUUGCA